GAGGCCUAGUGGUUAGAGCGUCCGCCUAGGUUGCGGGAGGUCGUGGGUUCAAACCCUGGCUGAGUCA